CGGAGAAAACUGUGAGUGUCUUUCCUAUAUCUCAGUCUUCCUUGUUUUCUCUUUCCAUCCUCUCUUCUUUCAUUGUGUCUUCUUCCCUCUCUUUCCAUGCACGGCCCCAUCCUUCUCCUCUCUCGCCAAAGGCCAGAGCUCAAGAAAUCAGAAAGCUUCAGGCUUCGUUUGGUAUCUGAUUUUCAUACAGUUUUUCCAUUUCAGAAACGGCAAGUCUUAUACAUGUGUUGAUCCGAGUGUAACCAGCGCCGACGUGAUACUUCUGGUCACUCUUCUCCGACCCAAUUAGCAAUCACUAAGGAUCUUGGAUUUACAAUAAGUCUGAGAAGCAGAGAAGCCUAAUAUCUCCAGUGAUGGGGAUGCUGCCAAUUCAACCCCUGAAGUAUAUCCUUCAUCUUGCUCGCCUAAAUGCUCGUUAUAUAUCAUCAACACAUGAAAAUCUCUCAACAAAGCUCAUUCUCUGCCACGACCCCUCCCUACAACAAUCUUACAUGGAAUUGUCACAGACAUUCUACGAAGCCAUGAAAGCUUGUGCAUCUCUCAAGUCAAUACCCAUUGCCAGAAAACUCCAUGCCCAACUCAUUUCCAUAGGAUUGGACUCUGCUAUUUUCCUCCAGAACAAUCUCUUGCACAUGUACUCUCAAUGUAGCUUGAUAGAAGACGCUCGUCGGAUUUUUUACAGUAUUCAGCAUCCUAAUGUGUUUAGUUGGAAUACUAUGAUCAAUGGAUUAGUAGAUUUGGGUCAGAUGAGGGAAGCAAAGAUCUUGUUCAAUGAAAUGCCUGAGAGAGACUCUGUCUCUUGGACUACAAUGAUGUCUGGCCAUUUUAAUAAUGGGCAACCAGUGGAUGCAAUUAAAGUUUUUGCUGCAAUGGUUCAGAAUUGUGAGAGUUUUUCCGACCCAUUUUCCUUCUCUUGCGUAAUGAAGGCUUGCGGUAGUCUUGGCAACAUCAAAUUGGCUCUUCAGUUGCAUAGUCUUGUGGAGAAGUUAGAAUUUGGAAACAACAUGACUAUUCAAAAUUCGAUUAUCGAUAUGUACAUUAAGUGUGGUGCAUUGAGUUCUGCCGAGAAAAUGUUUUUGAGGAUCCCAAGUCCUAGUUUGUUUUGUUGGAACAGUAUGAUCUUUGGUUACUCUAAACUUUAUGGGGUUCAGAGGGCUCUUCAUAUGUUUUUUCAAAUGCCUGAACGUGACUGUGUGUCUUGGAACACCAUAAUUUCAAUCUUUUCUCAGCAUGGGUUUGGGGUUCAGAGUCUCAGUAUGUUUGUUGAGAUGUGGAACCAAGGUUUUAGACCAAAUUCUAUGAUAUAUGCCACCGUACUUAGUGCAUGUGCAAGCAUAUAUGAUCUGGAAUGGGGUACCCAUUUGCAUGCUCGGAUCAUCCGUAUGGAACCAAGUCUUGAUGUCUUCGCAGGUAGUGGACUGAUUGAUAUGUAUGUGAAAUGUGGACACUUGCAUUUUGCACGGCAGGUGUUUAACAACAUGACAGAACACAAUGCAGUUUCUUGGACUUCUUUGAUCAGUGGAGUUGUGCAGUCUGGACUUGAGGACGAAGCUUUAGUACUGUUUAACCAAAUGAGAAAGGCUCCUAUUUCCUUGGAUGAGUUUACUCUCGCAACAGUUCUUGGGGUUUGUUCAGGCCAAAAGCAUGUUUUAGUUGGGGAACAGCUUCAUGGAUAUACAAUCAAGGCUGGAAUGAUCUCUUCUAUUCCUGUAGGGAAUGCUCUUGUUACGAUGUAUGCAAAGUGUCAAAAUACUCAUAAAGCAAAUCAGACAUUUGAGUUGAUGCCAUUCAAAGAUAUAAUAUCAUGGACAGCAAUGAUCACGGCAUUCUCUCAAGUUGGUAAUGUUGAAAAAGCUCGAGAGUAUUUUGAUAAAAUGCCACAGCGGAAUGUCAUAACUUGGAAUUCAAUGUUAGCAACAUAUUUUCAAAAUGGUUUUUGGGAAGAAGGCCUAAAAUUGUAUAUUCUAAUGCGAAGGGUAGAGGUUAACCCUGAUUGGGUCACCUUAGUAACUUCAAUCAGUGCAUGUGCUGAUUUAGCAAUAUUAAAACUUGGGAUCCAAAUUAUAGCUCAAGCUGAAAAAAUAGGGCUUGGUUCUAAUGUUUCUGUAACAAAUAGCAUUGUUACUUUGUAUUCACGAUGUGGGCGAAUUGAAGUAGCAAAAAGAGUGUUUGACUCAAUAUGUGACAAAAAUUUGAUUUCUUGGAAUGCAAUUAUGGCAGGAUAUGCCCAAAAUGGUGAAGGUAGGAAAGUGAUUGAGAUUUUUGAGAAUAUGUUGAAAAUGGACUGCACACCUGAUCAUAUAAGUUAUGUAUCUGUUCUAUCAGGAUGUAGCCAUUCAGGGCUCGUAAUAGAGGGGAAACACUACUUCAGUUCCAUGACUGAAGAUUUUGGCAUCAAUCCAACAUGUGAGCAUUUUGCUUGUAUGGUAGAUCUACUUGGCCGGGCGGGGUUAUUAGAGGAGGCUAAGAAUUUGAUUGAUACAAUGCCCCUUAAGCCAAAUGCUGCUAUAUGGGGGGCUCUGCUUGGCGCAUGUCGGGUUCGUCGCAAUUUAAAGUUAGCAGAAGUUGCAGUGAGAAAUUUGCUUGAAUUAGAUAUAGAUGAUUCUGGGAGUUAUGUCCUUCUGGCCAAUACAUAUUCUGAUUGUGGACAAUUAGAAGCUUUUGCGGAUGUGAGAAAAGAGAUGAGAAAGAAAGGAAUUGAGAAAAAACCUGGUUGUAGCUGGAUAGAGGUUAAUAAUAGGGUACAUGUGUUCACUGUAGAUGACACCCAUCAUCCACAAAUGAAGGACAUUUAUAGAAUACUUGACGAGAUAAUUAAGAAGAUAGAAGAUACCGGUUGCUAUUUCAAUCCAAUUAGCUCAUUUCUUUCUCAGUGUUAUCACAGAGAAAAGCUUGAUGUUGCUGUUGAGCUGCUUAGAGUGCCUGCUUGAUGCCUAUCUGCAUAAUGUGAAACCUUCAAGUUUCCCAUGAUUGUCACUUGGUAAUGAAGCUGAUUUCCCUUGAUACCUCAAAGGGAGCUUAUAGUGCUGGACAGAUACCGGUUUCAUCAUUUGAAAGGUGGAUUUUGCUCCUAUGGAGAUUAUAUGUGAUCUCUGAAUGUGAUUCUCUAGCCUUCACCUUGAAGGCACGACAGAUGUAAUGGAUAGGUUGACAGUGGUCCACGUGUUCAGCAUUUAUUUGAUGGCCCAAGUAAGGUUGAUUAUCAAGAGAAGCAAUUCGCCCAAGGUGUUAUUCCGAACACAUUCAUGCGAAGGGAGGGAGCGCCAAAAGAGCGUGAACUCUUGUUUUGCAGAAUGUGAUUCUCUAGCCUUCACCUUGAAGGCACGACAGACGUAAUGGAUAGGUUCAUAAUUUUAUAAGAGUCUGCUGUAAGCUGACAAAGUGAUGGCUCAUUUGAUGAGUUUCUUUAUCAGCGGUGACAGUGGUCCACGUGUUCAGCAUUUAUUUGAUGGCCCACGUAAGCAAACUAGAUGGUAUGUUGCUGCCGCCCACACCCACUGCAUGUUCUUAUCUUGCAAUCAGAGUCUUAAUCUUUGCUUCUUCUGAUGCGUUGUUUUGUCUCACGAAACUUAUGUGCUGGUGCUUGUUGAUGCAAUUUUGAAUAAUUAAUAGAGCCUCUAGUGUCCACAUUUCAGUUCCACCUUCAUCUGAUCCACAUGGGCACUGAGCCCUCUGAUUUGCUUGACUUUUGAAUGGAACAUUUAUAUUUUUCAAGCAACAUUUUAAAGGUCCCGCCCAUUAAUGGGAAUUUCUCAUGGUUUUUUUUU